AGCGAACGCUGGCGGCAGGCUUAACACAUGCAAGUCGAGCGGGCACUUUCGGGUGUCAGCGGCGGACGGGUGAGUAACGCGUGGGAACGUGCCCUCUGGUUCGGAAUAACUCAGGGAAACUUGAGCUAAUACCGGAUACGCCCUUUUGGGGAAAGGCUUGCUGCCGGAGGAUCGGCCCGCGUCUGAUUAGCUAGUUGGUGAGGUAACGGCUCACCAAGGCGACGAUCAGUAGCUGGUCUGAGAGGAUGAUCAGCCACACUGGGACUGAGACACGGCCCAGACUCCUACGGGAGGCAGCAGUGGGGAAUAUUGGACAAUGGGCGCAAGCCUGAUCCAGCCAUGCCGCGUGAGUGAUGAAGGCCUUAGGGUUGUAAAGCUCUUUUAUCCGGGACGGUAAUGACGGUACCGGAGGAAUAAGCCCCGGCUAACUUCGUG
rnacentral:rRNA from 1 species